CCAAAAUGUUGUGUCUGCAAAGACCGUUGAUAACUUUAAAUUACAACUUGAUCAUCAUUGGGAAGAUGUUAUGUACCAGUUCUAGUGAUAAAUUAUUUUUAUUACAAAUUUUUAUUGAAAUUCUUUACACUUGAGCCCUUAAACGACUCUACAGGUAUUCUACAGGUAGUACUAUGCAUGAGACUAACACAAAAAUGAAAUCAAACAUGUUAUCAAACUGACAAAGUAUAAAAAUUAGUGAACAAUGCAAAGUUCAAAAUUUCAUUGAAAACCACCAAAUAUAUAACAUAGAAACUAGGAUGGAGUUUAUAUAUAUUGAGCAAUGACUUUCAUUUAACUAAUAGGUGUUUGAUAAAUUCAAGUAAAAUUACAGGACCACCAGAUUUUUAGUCUUGGUGGUCCCAAUGACCACCAGGAAAAAAAAGAUUUCGAGAACUCUGAGAUGAUUAAUUACAACAACUAAAAGUGUUUGUAAGAUCCAGAAUGAAUAAACACAGAAAAUUUGUCUGCUAUAAAUUAAUGAUGGCUUUUUUGAGGAAAAUUUUACUGGGCUGUGGUUAGGAUUGUGAAUAAUCAUGAUGAUAACAUUUUCAAAUUUUAAAAAACAGUUUAUAACCUUGAGAGGGAAUAAUCAGCACUGGUCAGUGGCGGAUCCAGAGGGGGGCGUAGAGGGCGUACGCCCCCCCUUACUUGCACUUUUUUUUUAUUAAGACUGUCAAAUGGUUAAUCAGACUAGAUAUUGUUGACUCUGCCAUUUCCGCUAUUAUGCAAAUUACACAUGAGACCAUGGAUCUAUAUUUCUGUUAGAAACACAUGAAGGACUUUUUUACCACAACGAAACAUAGGACCAUAGAACUAUUAAACUGUUUGUAGCAUGCCAUGGUCUCUUUUAUACAUAUUACACAUGAGACCAUGGACAUAUAUAUACGUUAAUAACACAUCAUGUACUUUUAAACCACAAAGAAACAUAAAAACAUGGACCAUAGACUGUCAGUAACAUGUCAUGGUCUCAUUUAUGCAUAUUACACAUGAGACCAUGGACCAUGGACAUAUAUAUCUGUUAUUAACACAUCAUGGACUCUUAUAAAGCUAUGCAACAGAAGACCAUGGACCAAUUAGACUUGUCAGUAACAUGUCAUGGUCUCAUUUACGCAUAUUACGCAUGAGACCAUGGACCUAUACAUAUGUUAUUAACACAUCAUGGACAUUUAUACCACAAUAACACAUAAAACCAUGGACCAAUUAGAUUGUAUCAUGCCAAGAUCUCUUUUAUACACAUUACAAAUGAGACCAUCGACCUAUGUAUCUGUUUUCAACACACAAAGAAACAUAAGACCAUGGACCAAUUAGACCGUAACAUGCCAUGGUCUCUUUUAUACACACUACACAUGAGACCAUGGACCUAUACAUAUGUUAUUAACACAUGGACUCUUAUACCACAAUGAAACAGAAGACCAAAGACCAAUAAGACUGUCAGUAACAUACCCUGGUCUCUUUUAUACAUAUUACACAUGAGACCAUUGACCUAUAUAUCUGUUAUCAACACAUCAUGGACUCUUAAACCACAAUAAAACAGAAGACAAUGAACCAAUUAGACUGUCAGUAACUUACCAUGGUCUCUUUUAUACAUAUUACACAUUAGACCAUGGACCUAUACAAAUGUUAUUAACACAUCAUGGACUCUUAUACCACAAUGAAACAUAAGACCAUGGACCAAUUAGAACAACAUGCUGUGGCCUCUUUUAUACAUAUUUCGCAUGAGACCAUGGACCUGUAUAUCUGUUAUAAGCAUAUCAUUUUCUCUUUUAUACAUAUCACACAUGAGACCAUGGACCUAUAUAUUUGUUAGUAACACAUUAUGGACUCUUAUACCACAAUGGAACAGAACACAAUGGACCAAUUAGACAGUCAUUAACAAGCCAUGGUCUAUUUUAUACUCAUUACACAUGAGACCAUGGACCUAUAUAUCUGUUAUAAGCAUAUCAUGGAAUCUUAUACCACAAAGAAACAGUAGAGUGUGGGCCAAUAAGACUGUCAGUUACAUUCCAUGGUCUCUUUUUAUGCAUUUUACACAUGAGACCAUGGACUUAUAAUUUAUAUAUCUAUUAACACUUCCUGGAUCACAAUGAAACAGAAGACCCUGGACCAACUAGACUAGGCAGACAACACUCCAGAUCAGGCUCCAGAUGAUAAUAAUAUUGUUUCAAUACCAUCCUCUUCUGUGCUGGAAACUCAGGUCUAUGAUUUGGAUGUUGGCAUCAUGAGAUCGCUGAUAUCCCAAUCAGCUGGACCACUGACUUCUCUAUCUAUAUAUGAAUGGUACAGAAGAAGAAUGUAUAGAAACUGGCCACCAUGAUCAAAUAGAGCCUCAGGAAACAGGGGAAGGGGACAAGGUAGUGCAGGAGACCGAUGAAGAACAAGGGGGAGUAAUAGUUCAAGAGACAGGACAGGAGAAAGGGCAAGAGCCGGAGGGGGAAACACACGUAAGUUAUGAAGAUCAUUCGAUACAGGUGAAAAGAGAAAGAAUACACUCAAUUUUCAUGGAAGAGAUUACAUUAGAAGAAAAAUGUUUAAAAGUGAGGUGUUUGAUUACAUUGUGGUUUGAUUUGUGGGGUUUGGCAGAAGUUAUUUGGGAUUACAUUCCUGUUUUUCCAGACACCCUGUCAAAUACUUGGAGGCCCAACACCUUAAUAGAUACCAACAAAAAGUAUAAAGACUUUAUACCACUUUCCAUAGGGGAACGUACAGCUUACCAGUCCACAGCAAAUGGAAAUUGCAUUUAUAAUGCAGUGUCCAUUAUCCUCUAUGGAAAUGAAGAUAUGGCUGUGGUACUGAAGCUGGCUUCAGUGCUGAAAAUGGUGGACGAUAUAGUACCAUUUUCAAAAUAU